AUUGAACGCUGGCGGCGUGCUUAACACAUGCAAGUCGAUCGGUAACAGGUGUAGCAAUACAUGCUGACGAGAGGCGGACGGGUGAGGAAUAUUUGGGAAUCUGCCCAUCAGCGGGGGACAACCCGGGGAAACCCGGGCUAAUACCGCAUACGCUCUACGGAGGAAAGCCGGGGACCGCAAGGCCUGGCACUGAUGGAUGAGCCCAAAUCGGAUUAGCUAGUUGGCGGGGUAACGGCCCACCAAGGCGACGAUCCGUAGCUGGUCUGAGAGGACGAUCAGCCACACCGGAACUGAGACACGGUCCGGACUCCUACGGGAGGCAGCAGUGGGGAAUAUUGGACAAUGGGGGAAACCCUGAUUCAGCGACGCCGCGUGGGCGAAGAAGGCCUGCGGGUUGUAAAGCCCUUUCGGUAGGGACGAAAGCUCUUGCUCUAAUAAUGCAAGAGGUUGACUUAACCUACAUAAGAAGCACCGGCUAACUCUGUGCCAGCAGCCGCCGUAA
rnacentral:rRNA from 1 species